CCGCGUGAGUGAUGAAGGCCUUAGGGUUGUAAAGCUCUUUCGACGGGGACGAUGAUGACGGUACCCGUAGAAGAAGCCCCGGCUAACUUCGUGC
rnacentral:rRNA from 1 species